GAUGAACGCUGGCGGCGUGCCUAAUACAUGCAAGUCGAGCGAAUGGAUUGAGAGCUUGCUCUUAUGAAGUUAGCGGCGGACGGGUGAGUAACACGUGGGUAACCUGCCCAUAAGACUGGGAUAACUCCGGGAAACCGGGGCUAAUACCGGAUAACAUUUUGAACCGCAUGGUUCGAAAUUGAAAGGCGGCUUCGGCUGUCACUUAUGGAUGGACCCGCGACGCAUUAGCUAGUUGGUGAGGUAACUGCUCACCAAGGCAACGAUGCGUAGCCGACCUGGGAGGGUAAUCGGCCACACUUGGACUGGGACACGGCGCAGACUCCUACGUGAGGCAGCAGGAGGGAAUCUUCCGCAAUGGACGAAAGUCUGACGGAGCAACGCCGCGUGAGUGAUGAAGGCUUUCGGGUCGUAAAACUCUGUUGUUAGGGAAGAACAAGUGCUAGUUGAAUAAGCUGGCACCUUGACGGUACCUAACCAGAAAGCCACGGCUAACUACGUGCCAGCCGCCGCAGUAA
rnacentral:rRNA from 1 species